GAUCAUGGCUCAGGAUGAACGCUAGCUACAGGCUUAACACAUGCAAGUCGAGGGGCAUCAGUUUGGUUUGCUUGCAAACCAAAGCUGGCGACCGGCGCACGGGUGAGUAACACGUAUCCAACCUGCCUCAUACUCGGGGAUAGCCUUUCGAAAGAAAGAUUAAUAUCCGAUAGCAUAUAUUUCCCGCAUGGGUUUUAUAUUAAAGAAAUUCGGUAUGAGACGGGGAUGCGUUCCAUUAGUUUGUUGGGGG
rnacentral:rRNA from 1 species